GAAAUGGAAAAACUUUCAUAUGGAAUUAGCAUCUCUUUUUCAAGUUAUUGGAUGAGCAAAGCUGCCCUCUCCAACGGUUCACUAGACUAGAGAGCUGAGUCAGAGGCCUCAGUCAGGAUUACAUGUCCUGAACUAUGGGCAAAACAGAGAGGAAGACAUGGUUCCUGCCCCAAAGAGCUUACAGUUAAAGCUGACCAUCAUACAAAAGGCAGAGAAGAGGACUACAAUAACAAAAUAAGGAUUUUUAAAUGUUUCAAGUUGACAAAGUCCCUCAAAAAUCCAUAAGACACCAGAGAACAAGAAACCCACAGUGACCAUGCAUCUUGAAAUGCAAAUUGAUAUCAGGAGUGAGCACCACCAAACACAAAACAAGAGGCCUCUAAUUAUA